rnacentral:lncRNA from 1 species
AGUGGCAAAACUUAUCCUGGAGACAGACACAAAAGAUAGCGGCUUUUAAGUUAAGAAGCCAAGAUAUUGAUAGUUCAAUCUAUGGCCCUAUCGCUAAGGAGGUAAAUGAAUGCAUGCAAUCAAGGGGGGGAGUACAUGGUGGUGUGGGUUAGAUGCUUGGCUAAUGAAUACGUUAUAUAAAACUUGGGUCUGGUAUUCAUCGAAUUGUAUUCAUGAUGCUAUGGAAUAAAAACAUAUUUUAU